UACGUAGGGGGCAAGCGUUGUCCGGAUUCAUUGGGCGUAAAGAGCGUGUAGGCGGCCAGGUAGGUCGGUUGUGAAAACUGGAGGCUCAACCUUCAGAGGUCGACCGAAACCAUCUGGCUAGAGUCCGGGAGAGGAGAGUGGAAUUCCUGGUGUAGCGGUGAAAUGCGCAGAUAUCAGGAAAAACACCCGUGGCGAAAGCGGCUCUCUGGAACGGUACUGACGCUGAGACGCGAAAGCGUGGGGAGCGAACAGG
rnacentral:rRNA from 1 species